AUUGAACGCUGGCGGCAGGCCUAACACAUGCAAGUCGAGCGGGGUUUUCGGACCUAGCGGCGGACGGGUGAGUAAGGCGUAGGAAGCUGCCCGAUAGAGGGGGAUCUCAGUUGUAAACGACUGUUAAUACCGCAUAAUGUCGACGGACCAAAGUAUGGGACCUUCGGGCCAAAUACUAUCGGAUGCGCCUACGUGGGAUCAGCUAACUGGUGAGGUAAUGGCUCACCAAGGCGACGAUCUCUAGCGGGUUUGAGAGGAUGUUCAGCCACACUGGACCUGAGACACGGUCCAGACUCCUACGGGAGGCAGCAGUGGGGAAUCUUGGACAAUGGGGGCAAGCCUGAUCCAGCCAUGCCGCGUGUGUGAAGAAGGCCUUCGGGUUGUAAAGCACUUUCAGCGAGGAGGAAGGGGUGUGUGUUAAUAGUACACACCUUUGACGUUACUCGCAGAAGAAGCACCGGCUAACUCUGUGCCAGCAGCCGCGGUAAUAC
rnacentral:rRNA from 1 species